UCACAGUGUUUCAAGUCAAUUCUGAAACUUAGCAAAAGAGAAUUUUAAGGAGACGUUAAUUAGAUUAAAUAAACGCAAUAUAUUUUAUAGAAAAUGUAUGUAUAUGCACAUCACUAUACAUCUGUUAAGAUUACUGUCAUGGAAAGCUAAAGAGCAACUUUACAAGAAAGGAAAUUAUUUGCAACCAUGAAAGCUGUAAUUAGGAAAGCAUAAGGUGCCACAAAGAAGUCCCUCUAAAUUCUUCUAGGAAAACAAUGUCCAGGAAUUGGAUUCAGUCUUCAUAGCAUUUAUGAUAAGUGUAGCCAGCUUUGUAUAGAUGCUUAAAACUUUAAAUAUUAUUUCCUAGAAGUGCUUGAAAAUUCAUUAUGUUAUCUGAGGGAGACCAAAGUCAUUGUGGAAUGACGAUGUGAGAAUUAUUAGGAAACCAUUGGAAAAUGAUAAGUACUCUUCAGUCAGUGGUAACUGCCAUGGAGAAUAUUGCCUUAUUCUUAUUUUUGAAGUUUUGAAUGUAUGUGACAAAAAACAAAGAGAUGAACAAAAGCAAACAAAAAACCCGUAAGAUACAUUCUAGCAUUUUUAGCCAUCUCUGAUUCUUAUUCAAGAAAUAAAAGUGAAGAUCCUUCUUAACAGUAUAAAGCAUUUUAUGCCAGACAUGUGUUGUAUCCUUUAAAUAUUAUGAAUCUUGCCAAUGUCUUUAAUCGGUUCUCACAUACAUACGUGAGGAUUCACAUUUUUUCAUGAUUAGGACACUACAUAUUAGCAUGCAUUUCAGAGAACAUUAUUGUAUGUGGGUUCUAAAAGUGAAAAUCCUUGGAAUUUAAAGUCGCAUGUGGCAAAAUCUUCUUGGCCAAAAGAUUCAGUCAGUCUCUCAUCUAAUAUAAAAUAAUCCCCAUAUCAAAUGAAGCAGAUAUCUAUCAAUAUUGAGAAAGCAACGUGCUCGACAUGUUGGAGGUCUUCCAUUGACACUACUUAGUAAGGUUUUACCAAUGAAGAAUCAGUACAUAAAAGACUUAAUAUCGUAUCACACAUGGGUCUGUGUUUGGUUAUUAUUCUACCGACUCAUUUUUAUCAUAAUUGUUUCUUUCUUCACUAUUCUAUGCUUAGGAGAUCUGCUAAUAUGAAUGGCUAAAGGAUAAAUAAAGCUGACAAACAAACAUGAAGAUAUCUCUUGGCAUUAAGAUAAUUAUAGAUCAUUACAUGGUAGGAAUAGCCGAUAGUUCUAAAGUAAUAUGAGUAAAUAAAACAAUUUAAACCUGUACUUCACCUCAGCUUUUUAAUAUUUUACUAUUUCUCCUUUGUUGCUUCAAAGCUAUGAAUUUCAAGAUUUAUUUGUCACUAUUCUCUAUAUUUUCUGCUGUACACAGUAUUUGUGGUCUAUGGCAACCAAUCCCCUUGGGCGUUCUUUUGCUUUAAUUUGCAUAAACACAGGCAUCAUAUGAAUAUUCAGUGAGUGGCUUUGCAUUAAGUAAGUGCCCUUAAUCAGCUUUUCAGUUCAGUUUUAUUGGUUGCACGCACAGUCAGUUAUUUCAUCCAGAAAAUCUGAAGGCCCUACAAACUAACCAGAACAGUAAGGGUUGAAACUGAAGGCCGAUUGUGAAUACUAUCCACCGGGAGCUUCUUAUGAAUUGACUCAUGUUCCUCAGAUAAUAAAUAACACUAAAAGACACCAGUUAGCUUCUGACCUCAAGGAGUGCUACUUUCAUCUCCUGCAAGCUUUGAAAAGGGAUCUGAUACCUGACAACAUCUUGACAAAAGCACAUCCCAUCUUCUGAUGGAAGCUGAACCAAAAUUAUUGAUGUCGCUAGUGAUUCAGGGUACUCUAGAUUGUUUGGAGUCCUAUAUAAAUACAUUUAAUAGACAAAAAAAUUGCUGCCUUAAUCUAAGCAGAAAUGACCUUAGUAGAUAGAUACUGCUUACCCCACUGAUGCAUUAGAGCUAUACUAGUUCUACUCCUAAUUCUUGAGAAGCUGUGUUUUCUCUAAUUUAUUUCCUUUUUGAUCUUCACCUAUAGUUUUGCUAGGCUUAUUUGUAACUUCUGUAUCCAUAAAUAAAUAAUCGCUGUGGCUUUAGCAUUAAAUAAUAUCUAUCUAUUUAAUAUUUUGAGUCAUCAUUUUUAUUGUGGCUAAUGAUAAUGACUGGGAAUUAACAGAAAGGUGACAGAUUUCUAAAGAUGCCUUUGAAAAAUGGCUAUUUGCCUCUGUCCUCUCACCUUUGAAAAUAAACUGUAUUUUUUAAUCUUUGUUAUCAAUGAAUAUUAUAAGAUCUGAACACUGUUAUGCUAAUAUAUAUGUGUGCAUCUAUCAUAAGAAAUAUAGAAAAUAUUUAUUACAACUAUUGGCAAGAAUGUGGAGUAACUGGAACUCUCUUACACUGCUGGUUGGAAAAUAAAAUGUUUUAAAUACUUUGAUGAAUAGUUUGGUAGUGUCUUAAAUUUUUAGAUACACAUCUACCAAAUAAUCUGUUAUUCCAUCCUUAACUAUUUGUCCAGGAG
rnacentral:lncRNA from 1 species